rnacentral:lncRNA from 1 species
CCAGAACAUAUCCCCCAGCACAGGGCUUAACUCAUGUGCAGUGCACUGUGACAUUUAGUGUUUUACUGCACUUUGAAAAUGCUGGUCACCACCCACUAAACAGCUGGAAAACAUUGCAGUGCUUCCCAGGUGCCCCUGUCUCCUACUUGCUGCUCCGCUGAGGGAGGUGGGGCCAGCCUCCUGGGACAGGGUGGAGGUGGUGGGCCAGCUGGAUGAAGCCUCCUGGCUCCUGUUCUGGUCCAGGCUCUAUUCCGCCAGAGGCCUGGGCGGGAAGGGAUGGAUCGGGGAGGCUCUGCAUCUGCAAAGCCUGGCCUUCCGCUGGGCCAGGAUCAGUGAGAGCCAUAGAAGGCUGUUGGCAGGGACUGGGCCUUGCUUAGAAGGCUCAAGUACUGAGACUAGAGGAAACCUCACCCUGCCUGUCCUUCCUGAGUUGGGGAGACAGAGGGAAAGGUCGUGGAGCAUCUCGGGUGACAUCAUGAAGAUGCAGAGCUGCCAGCCCAACUACAGCUGUGGCUCAGAGGAGGCCUGGACUCCUGGCUCGGCCUCAUCCUCAGUGCAGGGACAGGCUCAGAGGCAUUGCGGUUUCAGGUCAGGGGAGGCCCUUGUAGAGU